UGGGGAAUUUUGGACAAUGGGCGCAAGCCUGAUCCAGCCAUGCCGCGUGCGGGAAGAAGGCCUUCGGGUUGUAAACCGCUUUUGUCAGGGAAGAAAUCUUCUGAGUUAAUACCUCGGGAGGAUGAUGGUACCUGAAGAAUAAGCACCGGCUAACUACGUGCCAGCAGCCGCGGUAAUACGUAGGGUGCAAGCGUUAAUCGGAAUUACUGGGCGUAAAGCGUGCGCAGGCGGUUUUGUAAGACAGAGGUGAAAUCCCCGGGCUCAACCUGGGAACUGCCUUUGUGACUGCAAGGCUUGAGUGCGGCAGAGGGGGAUGGAAUUCCGCGUGUAGCAGUGAAAUGCGUAGAUAUGCGGAGGAACACCGAUGGCGAAGGCAAUCCCCUGGGCCUGCACUGACGCUCAUGCACGAAAGCGUGGGGAGCAAACAGGAUUAGAUACCCUGGUAGUCCACGCCCUAAACGAUGUCAACUGGUUGUUGGGAAGGUUCCUUCUCAGUAACGUAGCUAACGCGUGAAGUUGACCGCCUGGGGAGUACGGCCGCAAGGUUGAAACUCAAAUGAAUUGACGGGGUCAUAGCUGUUUCCUG
rnacentral:rRNA from 1 species